rnacentral:rRNA from 1 species
UGCAAGUCGAACGCUUUUUCUUCACCGGGUGCUUGCACCCACCGAAGAUCAAGAGUGGCGGACGGGUGAGUAACACGUGGGUAACCUACCUACAAGCGGGGGAUAACAUUCGGAAACGGAUGCUAAUACCGCAUAGAUCUUUUUGUCUCCUGAUAGAAAGAAGAAAGACGGUUUCGGCUGUCACUUGUAGAUGGACCCGCGGCGCAUUAGUUAGUUGGUGAGGUAAUGGCUCACCAAGACGAUGAUGCGUAGCCGACCUGAGAGGGUGAUCGGCCACACUGGGACUGAGACACGGCCCAGACUCCUACGGGAGGCAGCAGUAGGGAAUCUUCCGCAAUGGACGAAAGUCUGACGGAGCAACGCCGCGUGAGUGAAGAAGGUUUUCGGAUCGUAAAACCCUGUUGUUAGAGAAGAACAAGGAUGAGAGUAACUGCUCGUCCCUUGACGGUAUCUAACCAGAAAGCCAUGGCUAACUACGUGCCAGCAGCCGCGGUAAUACGUAGAUGGCAAGCGUUGUCCGGA